rnacentral:lncRNA from 1 species
CUCUCUCUCGCUCUCUCUCGCUCUCUCUCUCUCUCUCUCUCCUACUAAAUGUAUGCUCUGCCUUGUUUCUAUUGCUCUAUAUCUCUAUUAUUUUCUUUCUUCUUCUCUCCCUUUAAGACCUGCAAGUUUAUAUUUAGCUUUGGAUGGAGUUGUUAGAAUUGAUGUCUGGAGAAACUAUAUACUUGAAGACUCCUUAGUUGUGUGCAAAAAAGAGGAUUUUUCUCCUAAGAAAUUGCUUAAGGUGGACCAAAAUGAGAAUUCUUUCACUUGCUUUCUGCAGAAGCUACUAAGUACUUGAUUGGAGAUUUUGGUAAAUUUUUUUCCACCAACGCUUUGGCUGUUCAGGCCAAUACUGCGGCAUGUCAGUGACCCAGGGAGGCAAUGGGUUUCCGUAUUUUCAUCACUUGGUAUAUGAAUAUUUUGUUACUGGAGCUGUAUCGUGUACUAUUGAUAUUGAUAGAGAUUGUAUCCCUUAUGGAAUUUUGAAGUACAUUUUGGAUAAACUAGAUACAGCGGACUCAAAAGACGACAUUCAAGCAGUGUUUCAUGUUGAUGAAGCCACUGAAUUUUUAUAUGCCACUGACUCUCCUAAACCUGUAUUAAAUCUGGUCUUAGAUGACAAGGAUAACAUCCAAUCCAUUUUUGUAGCCUAUCAUUGUUUUCUAAAAGUCAAAUCUGAAAUGGAUCGGUUUAUUGAGGGGCUACAUGUCACUGGAGUACUUGAUUUUGUUCGGAGUCACCCUCUGCAUUAAGACACAUGUUUGUUUUCAUUAAAAAGAAACUGACAGCUGGUUAGGUUUUUUUGCACUUUUUUAUUUUUAGUUUUUAGAGGAAUUAAAGUCAUUAUUUAAAUUUAAAUGUGGCUUAGAAGUUGACUCUCUUGAACCAGUUGCCAGCAACAAAGUUGCUCAAUGUUUAUAGUAUAUAGCAUAUGGCAUAUAUGUACAUGAUGACCACUGUGAGAUGGGGAGUGGUUGUCAGGCUACUCCUCCUCAUCACGACGUGUGUGUGUGUGUGUGUGUGUGAGUGUGUGU